CCCCCGAGAGGCUGAAGGAAGAGCUGGAGCUGGUGCAGAACGCCGUGUUCACCGACCCCACGGACCAAAGCGCCUGGGUGUACCUGCGCUGCAUCCUCUCCCGAGCUCCCCCACCUCCGAGGGUCAUCUGUGUCCACGUGGACCGCGAGGACGCGACGCUGGCCGUCAUCUUCUCCCGGCCUGUCAAGGUGA